CUUGUAGAAGUCACGGGACUACAUGCGCGAGUCAAAGUGCGCGGGCAGGUUGUUGAGCACCUCCACCACCAGCAGCGGCGUGCAGGCGCCGGAGAUACCAGUGAAGCCCACGAUGUCAGAGAAGAUGGUCACCUGAGAGCCGGGGACCGACACAGGGCUGCAUGAGAUCUCGGAGGCCCACCUACUUCACAAACCAGGAGCCUGAGACCCAGCGAGGAGCAGGCCACGUUUGCUCUCAGCAGGCCUGGGACAAAAACUUGGGCACCCAGACCCCAUCCCAGUGCUUGGCUGAGUUGGGCUGUGGCUGGAGGCCAAGAGGAGCAACUUUGUCCAUUGUGCCCCUGGGACAUUAGGGGUUGAAGAAGCAGAUAUGAAACUUUUUAGGAUCAAGAUAGGAAAUAUUUCCAGCAUCCCAGAAGGUUCCUUGGAGGCUGUCUGUUCUCAGUACCAUCCCAGAGGUAACCACUAUCUUUACUUCUAUCACUACUGAUGAAUUGGGUAGUAUUAGUAUUUUUUAAAAGGAGCCCUGGUGGCACAGUGGCUAAGCACUCAGCUGCUAACCAAAAGGUCGGAGGUUCAAACCCACCAGCCACUCUGCAGGAGAAAGAUGUGGCAGUCUGCUUCGGUAAAGACUACAGCCUUGGAAGCCCUAUCUGGCAGUUCUGUUCUGUCCUGUAGAGUCACUAUGAGUCAGAAUUGACUGAACAGCAAGGGGUGAAAUAUUUUUAAAUGGUUAACUCGCUCGGCUGCUAACUGAAAUGUUGGAGUUUCAAGUCCACCCAGAGACAUCUCAAAAGAAAGACCUGGCUAUCUAUUUCUGAAAAAUCAGUCACUGAAAACCCUGUGGGGCACAUUUCUGCUCUGACACACAUAGAGUUGCCAUGAGUCAGAAUCGACUUGAUUGCAAGUGGUAACUGGUAGCUUUUCUAACGUCCAGCCAGGGUAGAGUCAAAAAAAACAAACACCCGGCUACAACCGAUGACUGCCCUGACAGGGAGCACAACAGAGAACUCCUGAGGGAGCAGGAGAGCAGUGGGAUGCAGACCCCAAAUUCUCCUAAGACCAGACUUAAUGGUCUGACUGAGACUAGAAGGACCCCAGUGGUCAUGGCCCCCAGACCUUCAAUCGGCCCAGGAGGGGAACCAUUCCCGAAGCCAACUCUUCAGACAUGGAUUGGACUGGACAAUGGGUUGGAGAGGGAUGCUGGUGAGGAGUGAACUUCUUGGAUCAGGCGGACACUUGAGACUAUGUAGGCAUCUCCUGCCUGGAGGGGUGAUGAGAGGGUGGAGGGAGUUAGAAGCUGGCGAAAUGGACACGAAAAGAGAGAGUGGAGGGAGAAAGCAGGCUGUCUCAUUAGGGAGAGAGUAAUUGGGAGUGUGUAGCAAGGUGUAUAUGGGUUUUUGUGUGAGAGACUGACUUGAUUUGUAAACUUUCACUUAAAGCACAAUAAAAAUUAUUAAAAACACACACACACACAAACAAACCCAUUGCUGUCAAGUCAAUUCCAACUCAUAGCGACCCUAUAGGACAGAGUAGAGCUGCUGCAUAGGGUUUCCAAGGAGCAGCUGGUGGAUUCAAGCUGCUGACCUUUUGGUUAGCAGCCGAGCUCUUAAGCACUGUGCCACCAGGGCUCUGAGCCAGGGUAGAGCCAAUAAUAACAAAGGCUGAUCCUGAUUGAGCACUUCCUGAAUGCCUGGCAUUGUGCUAGGUGCACUUCACACACUAACUCAUUGAACCCUCACUCAACCCUAUGGGGUAGAUUCUGUUCCUACCCCUACAGCUCAGAUAGGGAAAUUGAGGCAGAGGAUUUGAAUCUGCACUAGGUGGAGAGAUGUUCACCAGCUGUGCCCACUUGCAAGGUGGGCUCCGUGGUAAAUAGAUCAGAAAUGGGGCCAUUGCAGAGCCAAGGCCAGGGUGGGAUUUGCUCCAUUGUCACCUGGAUCUGGCUUCACCCCACUGCCCACGUGGCCCUGCCUGGAACAGGCUUGCCUGCUCGUAGUUCUCAGCCUUCACGUGCUUGUGCAUGCAGGGCUGCCGGGCCACAGACCUGGGCAGUAUCUGGUGCAGCAGAUUUUCAGCCAGCCACCCCUCCUGCUGCAGGUUCUCAGUCCUCUCCAGAGGCCUUGGGUGUAGGCCUGGCCCAAGCAGGUCAUCUGUCUGAAGGAAACCAGUAUGAUAGAGUGGAAGAGGCUGGCCAUCAGCACCAGGCUGACCUUCAGGCUGACAGUGGAGAGUGCCCCCUCGACCUUGCUGCCCAGUCCCAUGGAGCCAUGCUCCCACAUGCAGCCCUGUGCAGACCCAUGAGGCUCCGGGCCAGGGCCAGUGCUGGUGACAAGCAGACCAUGGAGGAAGGAGGUGAGAGGAAGACAAGGCUGCUCUCAGACAGGGGCCAGAGGAAGAACAGGUUAGCAUUUGCCCUCCAGCAAGCCUGAAGUUUCUCAGAAAGCAUCACUGCAUAGCCAAGGUGGGCGGUGGGUGGUACCAAUGUGCCUGCCCAUGUGGGAGAAGCUGCCAGGUCUGGAGAAGUUCUUGGACCUCAAAGAGGAAGCUCAGGGCCACCAUAUCCACCUAGUCAGGGUUGGUCUUCAGAGCUGUGAGGGACUCACUGGGAGCUUUCCAGGAGUGGUAGCAGCUCAGAGAUGGUGCCUGAGAGCAGCAAGCUGGAUCCUGAGGCUCCGAGCUGCCUUCUGCACAUAGAGGUCACAGGCUAAGCCUGGUUCCUGCUCACACCAGGCCCUGUGGGCACUCACCCUGCCCAGCUUUGCCUGGCAGAGGGCCUCCACCCUGCUGAGCAGCAGCCAUCAGAGAGCCAGGGCCAGUGUCAGCGUUGUCCAUGGGCCCCAGCAGCAGGGCGCUUACUCCUCUCGGAGGAAGCAGAUCAGCAAGGCCAGAAGGAUAUUCCUGCAGCACCGAGUCUGCUCUUGGACCUGCCAUUGGCCCAGGUUAUCCCUCAGGCCCGGGAUGACAGCCCCCAGCAGGGUUGCUUGAGAAAACACACAGGUGGCCAGCAUCCUCCACAGCAGCUGGCUGGCUCUGCAGUAAGCACCACUGGGAUGCUCAGGAAUGGGCCUCGAUGGGGCUGGGAUUCUGGGAGGCAGUAAGAAUUUUACAAUAGCUUCCAGGUAGGGCAAGGAUUCAUGGGAAAGUUGGAGUCCCACAUGGGAGUUCACAGGGCUCAUGGACCGGGGACUAUAUUCACAAUGGUGGCCUUGGCCAAGUUAUGCCCAUCUCCAAGCACCAAUUUCUUCAUCUGCAAACCCCAAAUGAUGAUAACAUUUAUUGCAUUAACUUGAUGUGUGUAAAGCCCUUGGUGCACAGGAGGGGCUCAAUAAAUGUGAAUCAUAAGAUUAAGAAUGAGGGAGAGUAGUGUCCUGGUUGGAGUCCCUGAGUGGUGCACAUGGCUAAUGUGCUCCCUGCUAACUGAAAAGUUGGUGAAAGAUUGGUGGUUUGAGUCCACCCAGAGGCACCUCAGAAGAAAGGCCUGGCAAUCUACUUCCAAAAGAUCUGCCACUGAACACCCUAUGAAACAUAAUUCUACUUUGAGUCACAUGGGGUCGCCAUGAGUCUGACUCUAGGGCAACUGGUUUGGUUUUUAGUGACCUGGUUGAGGGCAUGGACUCUGGAGAGAUUUCCUGGGUUCAAAUCCUGGCUUUGCCACUUUUUAGCUGUGAGCCUUCGCCACCCUGUGCCUCACUUCCUGCUUAUAAAAAUGGAAAUGGUAAUAAGAAUACCUACCUCAUAGGGUUAUUUUGAGGUUUGUUUUGAGGACUAAAGGAGUUAAGCAUAAACCCAUUACCCAUUGCUGUCGAGUCGAUUCCGACUCAUAGCGACUCUAUAGGACAGAGUAGAACUGCCCCAUAGAGUUUCCAAGGGAAAAAAAAGAAAAAACCUGUUGCAGACAAGUCAAUUCCAACUCAUAGUGACCCUGUAGGACAGUAGAACUGCCCUGUUUCCAAGGAGCAACUGGUGGAUUUGAACUGCCAACCUUUUGGUUAGAGCCAAGUUCUUAACCACUUCAAAAUCAGGCCACCUAUAAUACCAGUAUUACCUCUAAUUAUGAAUCGACUCUAUAGCACUGGGUUUGGUUUUGGGUUUUGGUUCUUAUCAGCAGCGCGAAUCUAAUCUCUGCCUUGCCCUCACUUGAAGCAUUUUCAGAGGGAGGCAGACUAAUUCCAUUAUCUGUUGUGCAAAGAGUGAACAGUGUGUGGCUGCUAACAGAAAGGCUGGAGGUUCAAGCCCACCUAGAGGUGCCAGGAAAGAAAGGCCUGGUGAUCUACAUCAGAAAAGUCAGCCAUUGAGAAGCCCCUGGAGCACAUUUCUACUCUGACACACAUGCUGUCGCCGUGAAUGGCAACUGGUUAUCGCAAAACCGAACAGUAAGCAAAUCUACCCGAGUCACAUCUUGUACUCCCAAGCCAAGGCAAAGUGAUUUAAAUCCCUGGAACUACUGUUUUGCCCACUCUAUCCACCUUAAGGAGCCCUGGUAGCACAGCGGCUAAAGCACUCGGCUGCCAACAGAAAGCUCGACGAUUCGAACCCACCAGCUUCUCCGCUGGAAAAGAUAUGGCUGGCAGUCGACUUCCCUAAAGAUUACAGCCUUGAAAAGUAUCAAAUUGAUUGCAGUGGGUUUGGGGCUACUGUUUUGUCUGCUCUAUCCAGGGGCAUGACAGAGUUAACUGGGUUAGGAGGUGGGAGUUGGGGGGAAGGCGGGAAGUGGGAAUGAAGGGGAGCGGACGAAGCCCGACUGGAGAAAGCGCUUGGGUGAGGGGGCGCUCACUGAAGCAGCACACGGCUCUGCCGGUGGGCCCCAGACCCAGCCGCAAGGUUCAAGCCACAAACUCCCGGGCGAUUUAGGGGCCGCCUAGGGUGGAGGUUACAUCUGAUUAUGGGAAGCCAGAUGGCCCAAUGGACGAGUGAUUUGGGGGGCUCGGGGCAGCCCUAGUCCAGGUCUGGCUAGGGAUUCGGGCUGCCCCGGUCGGAUAGCAGAGUGCAGUGGGGACCAUGCGUGGGGAGGGUGGAAGCUGGUCUUGAGGAGCAGGACACCUCCGGAAGGGCCGUGUGCUUGGCAAAUACUGCAGACUUCGAGAAAGAGAAGAAAAAGCGCUCAGGCUCCCCCUCCCUCACCUGCUUUGGUCUCUGCUGCUAUUUAGGGCGCCCCUGCUGCCCUGUUCUCCCCUCAGCUAGUCUGGAGUGGGGCCUGAGAACUUGUACUUCUAACAGGUUACCCAGGAGACGCUGAUGCUACUAGUCCUGGGACCACAUGGUGAAAACCACUGCGUUAAAACACGAUUCUGAUAAUUUACUGUCUUUCAAAACUCUUCAAUGGUUCCCCCUUUGCCCUCGAGGUAAAAUUCAAGCUCUUAGAUGUGGUCCCUGCCUUUUAGCCACUCAGCCUCACACAGCUUACGGGGUCUCUGCCUAGAACACCCUCACCACCCAGGCGUCGCUGAACGUUGUCAUCAGCGCUCAUCACACAGACCUGUCUCCAUGGCAGACUUCCUUGCAUAUUAAAUUUUAGGGAUAUAUUUCUAGUCCUAGGACCCAACACAGAGUUUGACACACAGCUCAAUAAAUUUUUGUUGGAUGAACAAAGACAAUUAUUUUCAAGACUUUUUUUUUCAAAUUCAAAAUAAAGUUUUACUUAGAGCGCCAAUUUUAAAACAAAGUCAGACUCUGCUAGUUGGACCAAGUCUGUAUUCCGUUAAGUCUGGUCUCCGCCCUGCCCCCUUGUGGUGGUCUUGAGCCCAGCGCGAAAACUAUUUCCGGAAACAGGAGGUUGAUGACGCACCUUCAUUUACAUAUCCACAAUGCAUUGCACAGAGGACAAUUUUCGACCUUAAAACUAUUAGAUACACUCCUUUUUUAUAAUAUAGAUAUGAGAAUGCCCUGAUAUAAUUGUCUGUGAAAAAGGAAGAAGUCACUGUUCCUUUCUAGUGACUAGUCACCGCUAGUGAAUUAGGUGUGACAGUUACUCGAGAAAUGCGUUCCGUUGAUCGCAAGCAUACUCUGGUUUCUCUCCAGAAUGUAUCAGUCUUUGGUCUUUUACCAAAGGCGUCUGGAGAUGCAACGAUUGUGAGUAAACGGCACAAAACAACAACAACCAAUUUUUGGAAGCCCUGCGUAGUGGCAGGGCUUACAUUGAGUUAUAAAAAACAGACUUUUUUGUGAAUUUUAGUAAAAUUGGUUUUAAACAUUUUUCUUUUUCAGUUUGUCAGCUUUUUCUGUAAAUUGCUCAUUUUGUUGCGAGAGUUUGGUAAAAUAUUUUAUCGAUAAUUUUUAAAAAAUUAGGUUGCCAGUUUAAAUCAGAUCACCAAGUUAGCAGCAGAGCACUUUCAACCAUUGUACCACCAGGGCUCCUAAGUGUUUCCAUUUUUUAUAAUGAAAUGUUGACACGUUGGAGACCACUAUACAUUAUCACCUGCGUGCUCCUGUGCCUCCCCUGGGCCUGGCACAGAAGUUUCUGGUUUUGCCCAGGCCUUGUAACAUACAAACCAAAAAAAAAUUUUUUUAUUUUUUUUGUUGUUGUAAGUUCAGGCUUGGGCACUGCAUCUCAUUCUAGUAAAUGCCAGGCAAGUCCCAGACACCAUUCUGGGUCCUAAGUGUUGCACUUAUUGUAAGCUUUGACUACUUUUUAAAAUACCAACAAAAAUUCCAUCUGUAGACCCUGGGUUUAGAAGUCCUGACCUGCCUCCAGGUAUACACAACAAAGGAUUCUCCUGUGUGUUGGUAGAGAGUUUUGAAUUUAGCAAAGCACAUUCACCAACAGUCCUUUCUUGGGACUUCCCAGCCAUCUGAUGAAGUUGGAAGGUGUUAGCCCAUUUUAUAGGUGGGAACCUAAUUCACUUGUUUGAGGUCAUACAAUGAUAAUGACACAGCUGAACAUGAAACUCAGGUCCCUGACCCCCAGUCCAGUGCUCAUUCCUUUAUAUCCAACUUCCUUCCCCAAUAAUGUUGCCUAAUUAUCUUUUCUCAAAGUUUUCCUCUGACAGAAGCCACAACCUUUCUCAUGAGCUUACCUGCCCCUCCUCACCUGCCUCACCCUUCUCAUCUGUCCCUCCUCACCUGCCUCCACUCCUCACCUGUCCACCUGGUUUUCUCAGCUUUCAGGUCACACAGCGAGCUAUCACAAGAUUCUCAAGAUGCUGGUGGAUGUUCAGGUGCUGUGAUCUGUAGCGCAGUCUUUCACAUGUUAGCAGAAGGGAUAAUUAACCUAACCUGUUACUGGGGCCACCCUUUGACCUUUGGCAACCCACUCUUUCACUGGGUCUCAGUUUCCACGUUGUAAAAUGGGGCAAUAAAUUGUCUUCCCUUGGUUUUCAGGGGUGCAGUACAGAUUGGCCAAAAUUAUGACAGAAUUUAGGGGAGAGGAAGUGGUAUGCCCACAGGAGACAUUUUUGUCUCCAAUAUUACUGCCAGAGUCCCAGGGUGGUGCAUGUGGUUACCACGCUCAGCUGCUAACCACAGGUAGGGGGUUUCAGUCCACCCAAAAGCCCCUCCGAAGGAAGGCCUGGUCGCCUACUUCUGAAAACUCAGCACGGGAAAUCCUGUAGAGCACAGCUCUGUUCUGACACACAUGGGGUUGCCAUGAGUCGGAGCUGACUCGGUGGCAACUGUUUUUGUUGUUGUUGUUACUGCCAUGAAUUAGGACCAGAGCCUACUCAUUACGCUUAGAAGUCAAUGAUGUGAAGAAAUCAUCUCCAACUCUCUGCAGACAAUCUGAGGUACCAGCUGCUCCCUGGGCGUUUCCGAACGUUCCCACCCGUGUGUUUGCUCACCAUUCCGGCGGCCUGAUGGUCCUCUCCCACGCCCCGUGCAGUGUGAUUGGCCUCACACGCUGAGGCUGCGCAUGCGUGAGUGCUGCGUAUGGGUGCCCGGCAGGUCCCUGCAGAUAAGAGAGCGGUUGAAGCGAAGUGCUGUGGGUGCUUACACCUGCGCAAAGCUCGUUUCCUCAUCUCUCAAAUUGGGAUCCUAACAGCCCCCUUCACCAACUCCUCCUCCCAUAGAGCCACGUUGAUGUAAAACCCUAACAUAAUUCUGACAUAUGGUGAGCUCUGAUUUCUGGAUAUUAGUUCACUGAAAUGCUAAUCAUUCCACCAGUAAGUGUUUGUCGAGCGCCAGGUGCCCGUGUUCACGUCUAUGUUGACGGGAGCCUCUGGCACGCCCAGUACCAAGUUAAAGGCAGGUGAAUGGGAGCUGUCAGGCGUGGCUUUUGUUGUCAAGCAGCUUCCAGUCUAACUGGAGCAACUGGAGCACCUUCCAAACUGUGAAUGACACCAACUGCCCACUAUGAGAGUCUCGCUCCCUGAAGAGGCAGGCAGCCCAUAGGCCGAUGGCAUUUCGCACUGUGUACUACCCGGAGCCGGAAGAGAAGGCUCCUGGGACUCAAGUGGCUGGAAAGACAGGGCGCCUUAUUGUAGAGUCUGCUCUGCUUGUUUACUUUCUCCCACAGCCAUCUGCUGUGGCCAGACUGCAGCUCCUUGGCAAGCAACCUGGUCCCUGGUGAGUCAUGCUGCUUAAACUGCUUGUCUGGGAGCCUGGGAGACAACCAGAACACUGGGGCAGCCCCAAGGUGGGCUGCCACGCCCAGCAGUCCCUGGGAU